CUAGCUAGGACAUUCAGCACUAAACACAUAAUUUGAAAUACCUUCUUUUGGAUUGUGUCUAAAACAAGGUUUGAACGAAAAAGGUCAACAAAAUAACAGUGGCAACGAAAGGUAUGCAAAAUGUUGCUCAAUCCGCGCAAUGUUGAGGAACAGUGCUGCACGAUUUUACGGCACAUGAGUCUGGCCCAUACAAAUGAAUGUUGCCAGCAACAUAAAACGUAAGGUAAGUGAGUAUUGAAUGUAAGGGAAAUUGUUGAGCUGAAAAGGGACAUUGUGGCAGGGAAAAAUCCCUCGAAAAAUCCCGUACUGCGAAAACA
rnacentral:misc_RNA from 1 species